rnacentral:rRNA from 1 species
AUUGAACGCUGGCGGAAUGCUUUACACAUGCAAGUCGAACGGCAGCACGGGGCAACCUGGUGGCGAGUGGCGAACGGGUGAGUAAUACAUCGGAACGUGCCCAAUAGUGGGGGAUAACCAGUCGAAAGACUGGCUAAUACCGCAUACGACCUACGGGUGAAAGCGGGGGACCGUAAGGCCUCGCGCUAUUGGAGCGGCCGAUGUCUGAUUAGCUAGUUGGCGGGGUAAGAGCCCACCAAGGCGACGAUCAGUAGCUGGUCUGAGAGGACGACCAGCCACACUGGGACUGAGACACGGCCCAGACUCCUACGGGGGGCAGCGGUGGGGAAUUUUGGACAAUGGGCGCAAGCCUGAUCCAGCCAUGCCGCGUGCGGGAAGAAGGCCUUCGGGUUGUAAACCGCUUUUGGCAGGAACGAAACGGCGCAAGCCAAUACCUUGCGCUAAUGACGGUACCUGCAGAAUAAGCACCGGCUAACUACGUGCCAGCAGCCGCAGUAACAC